rnacentral:piRNA from 1 species
UGGGCUUACAGGCUUGUGCCUCUCUACCUG